AGAUUGAACGCUGGCGGCAUGCUUUACACAUGCAAGUCGAACGGCAGCGCGGGGCAACCUGGCGGCGAGUGGCGAACGGGUGAGUAAUAUAUCGGAACGUACCCAAGAGUGGGGGAUAACGUAGCGAAAGUUACGCUAAUACCGCAUACGAUCUAUGGAUGAAAGUGGGGGAUCGCAAGACCUCAUGCUCCUGGAGCGGCCGAUAUCUGAUUAGCUAGUGGUGAGGUAAAGGCUCACCAAGGCGACGAUCAGUAGCUGGCUGACGAGGACGACCAGCCACACUAGAACUGAGACACGGUCCAGACUCCUACGGGAGCAGCAGUGGGGGAACUUUUUGGACUAAAUGGGGACGCUAAAGCCUAGAUACCAG
rnacentral:rRNA from 1 species